rnacentral:rRNA from 1 species
UACGUAGGGUGCAAGCGUUGUCCGGAUUUACUGGGUGUAAAGGGUGCGCAGGCGGACUGGUUAGUCUGGGGUGAAAUCUCAUCGCUUAACGGUGAAACUGCCUUAGAUACUGCCAGUCUUGAAUCAGCGAGAGGUUCGUGGAAUUCCGAGUGUAGCAGUGAAAUGUGUAGAUAUUCGGAAGAACACCAGUGGCGAAGGCAGCGAACUGGCGCUCGAUUGACGCUCAGGCACGAAAGCAUGGGGAUCAAACAGG